rnacentral:tRNA from 1 species
UCCCUGGUGGCUCAGUCGGUAAAGAAUCUGCCCACAAUGCAGGAGAUCCAGGUUUGAUUCCUGGGUUGGGAA